UUCAGAAGAAACAGUUGUGGAUACUAGAAGUGUUCUAGGCAAGGUUUAUAAAGUAGACGAGUAUGAAAUGCCUAAAGAACUGGAUUAUUCAAUAAAAGAGUAUAGUGAACUCAGUUAUGGAAGUACCCUCACCAUUCCCCCACCAUUACCAAAGCGUAAUUCUAAUAAUUUAAUAUUCAAUUAAAACAAAAUAUAAUAAAAGUUCACAAUGGAUUAUUGGAUGGAUAUAUUGGAAAUUGCGUCAUAGAUAUACAUUAACAAAUUUAUAGAUGUUAAAUUUAACAUGAAAUUUGCCAUCCCCAACAGUUAUUAACAUUUAAAAUGUCAUGUACCAGCAAAAACGACAACGAUCAAAUGCUCCUAAAUGUCUUGAGGUGAAUAGAUCAUUAAUCGUUGUGCUGUGCCAACUAUUCAACAAGCAAGGUAGUCGAUUGUAAAUAGCAAAAAAGGCGUUUAAUUUAAAACUAUCGAUUGUUUGUGGCAAAACAUCGAUGUUUAGUUUUAUGUCUUGUCCCGUCUCUAUGAAAGAAAAAACUAAAGAGAGAAGGAGAAGCACGAGAGGUAGGUUGGCUUGGAUGUGUUGGCAAAAGUACAAUUAAGCGAUGGCAAAAUUUAAACAAGCACAGGACGUUGAGAAGCCGUUGGCAUUGAUUCAGGAAGUGCAAGCUCGUUGGAACAGUGCGUUAAAUAAAUAAUUUUUAGAGGAAUAUCUGUGCGUCCCGGCCACGUCCUGCGAGUCUGAGCGAAUGUUCAGCAAGGCCGGUCAAAUUAUUUCUGAUCGUCGUAUUCGCCUAAAGCCGAAAGUAGUAGAUCAGUUAAUGUUUCUAAACAAAAAUCAGGACUUGUUUUAAGAUAUAAUCUAGGGAAUUUACUUUUUUUAUGUUGCUGGACGGAAGCUAUGAGCUAUUGAAAGUGAAAUUAUCUCCAAUUAAAAUGAUUUUUAAUAAAAAUAUAUUUUUAAUAAAUAAAUAAAAAUAUAUAAACACACAAAAUUUCAUGAAAAUCGGUAGAGCCAUUUCGGAGGAAUUUAGCAAAAAGCUUGUGACACGAGAAUUUAAUAUAUUAGAAUAUACAAAUUUUCAAUAAAAAUUUCAAAAACAAAUUUGUAUCAGACCAAUUGCGUUUUUUGGAGAACUUUCGUGGCCGCUCUUGAGCUUAGCGGUGCGCCAAGGGGUAUGUAAUUUACGGCUGUUGCUUGCCAAGUGACACUCUACCCUACAUUCUAAGUGUAUAUUGCUUUCAAACGUUACUUGCAACCACUCCUUCUCUUGAUACCUCGUGCCUCGACAUUCAAUAUUACAAUUCAUUUUCGAUUAUCGUUCUCGUUCAAACAUUUUAUUUAAAAAAAAUAAGCAAAUAAAUAUAAAUAUAGUGGCUUGUUGCGUAAAUUCUACAUAAGUAUUACGGCAGAAAACAGUAAAUCCAUUCAUGAACACUUAAAGAUUAAGCUCAAAAGUCGAUUAAAAAGCAUUCGCCGCUUAGAGGAUCGAUUAGACCAAGGGUCGUUUCUUUUAUAAUUACCGGAAUUACAAUGUAGAUUAGUUUGUUUGAAUGCUUCAAUUGAAAAGGCGAAUCAUGUGCAAGAGCAAAUCGAGGAGAUAACAGGUGAUGAUACAUAUGCAGCCGAGUUGGAAGAGCUGACGAUUGUAACCAAGGGAAAGCUAAUGUCACUGUACGAUUUCAAUUAAAAUACAAAAUCGUAUGAUUAGACCUAUACAAAUAGCUAGCCAUAAAAGGUUAAGAUUUCCCAGCCACCUAAAUAAAUAAACGAUAAUAUGCUCUAAAUAUAAAUAUGUGACAUGCACUACUGACCUAAAUAAAUAUACAACGGACAGCUGCAUGCAUUUGUGUACAUACACUGUUAAGAUAUUUACAGCACUAUCAUUAAACACAUUCUGGAUGACCUGCAUGUGGUCAAAUCUCACACCAUCUGCAUGAUAACCAUUGUGACCGUCAUAAAUCUGACCCUUGGAAUAUUCCACUGUUGGAUUUGUAGUAAUUGCUUAGUCCUAAAUAUAUAUAACACAUUUCCCUAGCAAUAUUAUACUCAGAACUAAUUAAACAUACCUAAUAUCCUAAGUAAACAA